rnacentral:rRNA from 1 species
GACGAACGCUGGCGGCGUGCCUAAUACAUGCAAGUUGAGCGCUGAAGGUUGGUACUUGUACCAACUGGAUGAGCAGCGAACGGGUGAGUAACGCGUGGGGAAUCUGCCUUUGAGCGGGGGACAACAUUUGGAAACGAAUGCUAAUACCGCAUAAAAACUUUAAACACAAGUUUUAAGUUUGAAAGAUGCAAUUGCAUCACUCAAAGAUGAUCCCGCGUUGUAUUAGCUAGUUGGUGAGGUAAAGGCUCACCAAGGCGAUGAUACAUAGCCGACCUGAGAGGGUGAUCGGCCAACUUGGGACUGGGACACGGCCCAAACUCCUACGGGAGGCAGCAGUAGGGAAUCUUCGGCAAUGGACGAAAGUCUGACCGCGCAACGCCGCGUGAGUGAAGAAGGUUUUCGGAUCGUAAAACUCUGUUGGUAGAGAAGAACGUUGGUGAGAGUGGAAAGCUCAUCAAGUGACGGUAACUACCCAGAAAGGGACGGCUAACUACGUG